GCCGGGCGUGGCGGUGCAUGCCUGUAAUCCCAGCUACUCAGGAGGCCGAGGCAGGAGAAUCGCUUGAACCCAGGAGGUGGAGGUUGCGGUGAGCCAAGAUCACGCCAUUGUACUCCAGCCUGGGUGACAGAGCGAGACUCUGUCUCAA
rnacentral:SRP_RNA from 1 species